UCAGUACUCCCAGCAGUGAGGAGGAAACAGCAUGAUAUGUUGAGGACAGCUACAGUUCACUGACUCUGUGUGUUUGCAUAUGUGUCCUUCCUCUCUGCUCCCAGCCUUUAAGAGGCCAGUGUUGAUCAGUGGCUGUCCAGGCCUUUCAGAGCCACUGACACGCCGGCAGCACAAUGAUGAUGUCACUGACUCUACUGCUGGCCACCCUGGGGCUCCUUGUUCAGGGUUCAUCAGGACAAAUCACCCUGACUCAGUCUCCUGGAUCUCAGUCUGUUGUUCCAGGACAGACUGUCUCUAUCAGAUGUACAGCCAGUUCAAGUGUUAGUGGCUACCUCAGCUGGUACCUUCAGAAACCUGGAGAAGCUCCUAAACUCCUGAUUUAUUAUGCUACAAACCGUCAGUCUGGAGUUUCAAGUCGUUUCAGUGGAAGUGGAUCUGGUUCUGACUACACUCUGACCAUCAGUGGAGUUCAGGCUGAAGAUUCAGGAGUUUACUACUGUCAGCAGGGUGCCAGCUUCCCGUUCACACAGUGAUACAACGUCGUACAAAAACCUCCCUCAGCUGGAGAGGAACUGAUCUGACUCAACAGCUGCACUGACACUAAAACAACAGAGGUUUCUCUACAAUGAAAACUCAUGAUUGUAUAAGACAGUAUGAUUUUAAUUGUGAAAAUAUUUAUCAUACAAUUCAGUACAUCAUUUUAUUAUCACUGAAACAAUGUUUUAUCACACAUCUACAGUUUACUAUAACAGUUUUAGAGCAAAGCUUCAUUCAGAAAAUAAAUAGUUUUAGAAGGAAUUAUGACACAAAAACACAAAAUGUUUUGGUGUGAAAGAAAUUUUUCAUCUCAUAAUUUCUGAAGGUUAAUUCUUGUUUCACUGAAAAUUUUGUGGUAGUAUAGAAUAAUUUGAUUUGUAUAGUGAUAAAUUAUAACAGAAUUUAUCUCAGGACAGACUUUAUAUAGAGAAGUUUAGAGUCUAGGCCGUACUUAACAAAACAGUCAAAUUAACACUAAAAAUGCAGAUUAAUUAAACUGAAGGAUGACUAAAA